GAUCUAGCAGUGGGGAAUCUUGGACAAUGGGCGCAAGCCUGAUCCAGCCAUGCCGCGUGAGUGAUGAAGGCCCUAGGGUCGUAAAGCUCUUUCGCCAGGGAUGAUAAUGACAGUACCUGGUAAAGAAACCCCGGCUAACUCCGUGCCAGCAGCCGCGGUAAUACGGAGGGGGUUAGCGUUGUUCGGAAUUACUGGGCGUAAAGCGCACGUAGGCGGAUCGGAAAGUUGGGGGCGAAAUCCCGGGGCUCAACCCCGGAACUGCCUCCAAAACUAUCGGUCUAGAGUUCGAGAGAGGUGAGUGGAAUUCCGAGUGUAGAGGUGAAAUUCGUAGAUAUUCGGAGGAACACCAGUGGCGAAAGCGACA
rnacentral:rRNA from 1 species